UACGAAGGGGACUAGCGUUGUUCGGAAUUACUGGGCGUAAAGGGCGCGUAGGCGGCCUUCUAAGUCGAACGUGAAAUCCCCGGGCUCAACCCGGGAACUGCGUCCGAUACUGGAAGGCUUGAAUCCGGGAGAGGGAUGCGGAAUUCCAGGUGUAGCGGUGAAAUGCGUAGAUACCUGGAGGAACACCGGUGGCGAAGGCGGCAUUCUGGACCGAUAUUGACGCUGAGGAGCGAAAGCCAGGGGAGCAAACGGG
rnacentral:rRNA from 1 species